UGUAGUUUGAUUUAGAGCAGAAUGUUUCCAGAUGGGUUCUGAUGUAACCCUUUUCCUUCCAUCUCCCGAUGACACUGAAACUGAAAAAUCAGUCGCAGCACCCAGGUUUUGCUGUCCGUGAACAUGGGGUUCCUGGGGUCAGCAGCGUGGCUAGUGCCUUCCUCAGUCCCGCUUCUUUAACCAGAGGCGGUGGCCAGACCUCAUGAGCCAUCAUCUAGCAGUUACAUUACUGCGUGACAAACCGUCGGAGAGAAAGCUUAGAUCUGCCAGGCUCUACCCCCAGGAAGGAGAGGCCGACCGUCGGUGGUACCAGCUCUAACAGAAAGCCAGUCUUCGGCCGCCGGUGGCCUGCGUGGGCUGGGCUGGGCAGCCAGUGCCUGCAGACUUCUCGAACCUGCCCCCGGGGGUGCUCCCUGGCUCAGCCUCUGUGGAGGAGGCACGAUCAGCGCCAUGAAAGGAGCUUGAGUUCGGGGACACUAAUUAGAGGACUGUCUCCCAUGGAAGUGCAACCCCUGAGCCACCAAGCAGGGAAGACGGGCUGUCCGGCGUGCAUCUGGCUUGGCAAGCAGGCCCGGACACAAUACUCUCUCGUCCUGUACGUGCCAGGCCAAGGAAGGACCGCGAUCAGACUUCCUGUCUUCAUUGCCACACCCUCAGAAAAUCGUACUGAGGAAAAUGUGAGAUUUCCGUUUUAACAGUGAUGGGGAGAGGACGUCUUUCUCAAGCACGACCCAAGUCCAUAAAACAUAAAAACAGAUUUCACUGUAUAAAAUCGCAACACUUCCAUACUGCAAGGAUACUAUAAGCAAAAUUAGAAGAUAAAUGACAUUUCCAAAGAGCGGAGAUAAUGGUGGCCACCUAAAUCUGAAUCUCCCUGCACACCCUCCAAACAACUGUACAGGUCAACAAAAAGAAACACACACACACACACACACACACACACACACACACAUCUCAUACUUUCAUCUUAACUAGAAAUCCCAAUAACACUACAAACUUCAUAUUAUCUGUAAUUCAGAAAAAACACAUCAAUUUACAGCAGCACGAGACCUGGACCUGCCACCACAAGUUUUGCAGAGACCUGGGAGGGCAUCUCCGGAAAAUCUACGUGGAAGAGCGGAGAGGGAAGGAAGUGAAGACAGCUCUCAGAAAGAUAAAGGCCAUCUUGGGUGUGAAGAUAUUGAAUGCGUUCUGGUAUCUAGGAGCACUGACUGUGGUACAGAAACUGCAGAGUGAUGUGAGAUUCGAAAAAGCCGUUCUGGAAAGGCUGGGGAAGAAACGGAUGGAAAAGUCGAGGCAAUCUUUGGAUACUUCCUAGAGAAGGCAAAAAGAAACAUGGGAGAAAGAUUCAAAGACUCGGGAUCUGUCAAGACAAAGAAAACCAAAAUUAAAAUAAAAUAAAAUGUAAAAUAUAAAAUAAAAUAAACACAAACACUA